AGAGAGAGAGAGAGAGAGAGAGUGAUAGUUAUGGGGGGAAAACCUUUGUGUGGAAUGAGGUUUGAUCCAAGAUCUCUUUCCAUAUGUGGAUCAUGUGAACUUGCACCUUUGCAUGUUGGCAAACCCUCUUCUAUGAAUAGAUCUCGGACCAGGCUUCAUUCCCCACACUGGUUUUCCACAAUAAAUUGAAACCCCAUUUUCUUCCAUCAAGCCUCUGAGAUUUUGGGCUUUUCCUCUCUCAAGAAUAGCCUCUUUCUGCAUGCAAGAACAUAUGCCAGUUUGUUGGAACACACGUAUGCAAAGACUAUACAACAUCGAAGACAAAUGUUGGUAAGAUUUUUGCAUGUGUAGGAACAUCAUCGACAUGGUAAACUUUAGAAAAGUAUAACGCACAAAAAUGUGUUUACGAUAAUUAUACACCACAGUUGCAUCUACCAUCUGUUUUGAAUGAUGGACGGUGGAGAUUAAAGAAGACAGCUCGUUAGAAUAUGGGAAGAAAUGAGAAGUUGAAGAUAGCAUAAUCUAAGUUUAGGGAAGGGCCAUGUUUACAGUUUUGAAUUUCAGAAUUCAAGAAAGGGACUCUCUCUCUCUCUGGUUUGUGUAUUGGUGUGUGCAUGUGAUGGAAAAAUUCUCAAACCCGUCUUUCUCUGUCUGGUGUGUGUGUGGAGGUAGUGGCGGUGGUGCUCACAAACAUUGCAUCCGCGCAGAGAGUUGUGUAUUUUGAAUAAAAGAAAGAGAACUUUUGAUCCUCCUACAGGUGCACUGAAACGGUAUCUUAUCCCAUCUCUACCAUCCAUCAAUUUGGUCAUGGGCAGAUCAUUAAAAUUGACUCCAUAUAUAUGCCCUUUAUGUACUAUUAGAGUAAUUUACAUACGAACAAAAUAUAAAUAAGUAAAUUGCAAAAUGGUCAAUUUACAAUAAAGGUUGCUUACUGGAGAGGUUUUUUUCUAAUUUUUCUCGGUCAAGGUACGGUACAAAUUACCAUCCCUAGACCGGUUUUAAAUUUUUUUUUUAAGCUUUUUUAAUUGUCUGGGAUAUAUCCUAUAUUUUAAGACGGUUGAUGAACGGUUUGAGGUCUCCAUUAUUGGACUACCUAGAUUGUAGUGUACACCACAUUAUAGGUGGUUUGAGUAUAAGAUCUCAGACGACUUCAAUUCAUUAGUGGUCCGAGGUUCCCAUCCUCAAACUGCCUAUAUUGAGGUGUUAGCCAACAUUAUAAGCAAUCUCUGGAAGAAGAUCUUAGACCGCUUGUAAUAUGGUGUAAUAUUACAAUCUGGGCAGUUUAAGGACCACCUGUAAUACGGUUUAAUAUCUGGGCAGUUUAAGGAUAGGGACCUUGGACUGCCAGUAAUGUGGCGUAAUACUACAAUUUGGGCGGUUUGAGGAUAAGAACCUCAUAGCAGUUGCCAACGGUCCCAAAACAUAGGACACAACCCAGACAAUAAAAAAAUAAAAAAUAAAACGAGUUAUCCGCAGGCCAGCGAUGGGCAUUAUGGGAAAAAUUAAAAAGCUCUAUAAUAAAUGACCUUUACCGUAACUUUGGCCAAAAUUGACCGAUUUUGUAUUAUUUAUUUUGUGUCUAUGUAAAUUGCUCUUACUAUUGUUUUAUGUGCUACAUGGUUCUCCAAUAUACUUUUUUUAUUGUGUUUUUUCAAUGUUUUAAAAAUAUAGAUCCAGAUCAAAAUUACCCAGUCCCUGAUACUCUUAAUACGUACCCACUCAUUUGUUCAAUGGAUCACACCAAACGUUGCAUCCUUAAAUUAAAACAUAAGUUGUAGGACAAUAUGUGCCUAUUUGCGAUACAAUAAGAUAGGAAUCCUAACGCUGAUUAAACUUAAACAGUGAAUAGGGGGGCAUGUUCCCAAAGUUGUGAGGACAUACCUCACAACUUUGGUGCAUGGUAAACAUUUCUAUAUAUAUAUAUA